ACAUGCAAGUCGAGCGAGAAAGUGUAGCAAUACAUGAGUACAGCGGCGCACGGGUGAGUAACACGUGGGUAAUCUGUCCUAGAGUGGGGAAUAACACCGGGAAACCGGUGCUAAUACCGCAUACGAUCACGAUGUCUGCGGACGUUGUGAUGACAGGAGCAAUUCGCUCUUGGAGGAGCCCGCGGCUGAUUAGCUAGUUGGUAAGGUAAUGGCUUACCAAGGCUACGAUCAGUAUCCGGUCUGAGAGGACGGUCGGACACACUGGAACUGAGACACGGUCCAGACUCCUACGGGAGGCAGCAGUGGGGAAUUUUUCGCAAUGGGCGAAAGCCUGACCAAGCAACGCCGCGUGGGUGAUGAAGUAUCUUGGUACGUA
rnacentral:rRNA from 1 species